UCUAAUCUCAAAAAUGAGCCCAUCAUUGUACUUGCAAACUAAGGGGCAUAUUCUCACCCAGAGCAUGGGGAUUUACGCACAUAAUUACCAUUAAUGCUAAUGGCAUUUAUGUCUGUACAGCCCUGCACAUCAAGAUUGGAAUAUAUUUCCUUGUCUUCACGCUGUGAAAGUCCAUUUAAUAUCAUUCAUUUUACAACUUAUUUUUUAAGAUGAUGUCCAUAUUCUGUCAUGGCGUACAUAUGCCUAGUUAAAAGUAAAUGUGGGAAAUAUUGGGAAGAGAUGUGAUAGCUAAACUUGUUCGCGUGGAUGAAAUAUGGCUGAACUCCAAUCCAUUCAUACUCUUUAAACACAACGCUCUAUUCGGCUUUGAAACUGCUGGCACGCUUUUCAUAGUGUUAUAAAUUUGUCAGCCUAAUGGGACGUUUUGUAGAUGUUUUCCUUUUUAAGUGCUUUAACAGGAGUAGGUAUUCCAUUGAUCCAAAAAUUCAGCUCAGCGUUUCAUUUCUUCGAGAUGGGAAUCAUACACUGAAUGUCUAUCAGAGAUUAAGUGGUGGAUAGUGCCCUCCAUCUCGUCAAGGAAAGGCAAUUCACUCCCUGCCGAAGUCUCCUCUCUUCUGGCCUCCGGGAACAUCUCAAGAGGGGGGCCUGGUCUGCGGCCGGAGAUGUCAGUGGUCAUCAGAAUUUGAGGUUGUUCCACAUCUACAUCGAUUGUAUGAUUCUCUUUAUACAUCAGGCCCAAUAGCCUAUUGAAAGGCGUCUUCACGUCUAUGCUGGCCAAGCAAAUUCAGAUCCAGGUCUUGAUUGAUCUGUCCUGGGACUUUGACCAUUAAGCGAAAAUGAUGGAUCUGCCUCACCUGUCCCAUCUCUGAAACCUUUCUCUUUGAGCCAGCCCAAAGCAAAAGGGUUCCGUGUUUAAAACGGAGACAUAAGAAUCCGACAGGCAUGCUGAAAUCCUUCCUGAGAGGUCUCUGUGGGUCUCCUUCAAAGGUAUACGGCCUCCUCUGGAGGAAAGAGAAGAGCUUCGUAGCAGAUCUCGGAAGGCUGCGCAAAGGAGUGAGGUCACUUCUGAAUGGGCUCAAGAUGGCCAACUGUGCCCAGCUGGGUGGCCUCAGGCACAGCACUGGACCGGAGUCUGUUUCCUCGUGGAUAAGAUUGAGCGGGAUGAAUACUGAGUGUUUUUACUGCCUUGAAAUUUUAUAACCAGUGCCAUGCCGUAUUUGGCUUUUAUAAACAUUAGGAUUAUGGUGAAUUACAAUGAAUAACCGAAAGGAAACACUGGUGUCCAAGGGGUUAGGCAUGCGAGGAGGUGAGACUCCAGAGUAUUAUUAGAUGUCUGGACACAAAAUACUAGUAGAACAGCUACGAUGCAGGCCCAGAGCCUAUGCCCGAGUCCAGACCACAUCCUGAUAUGCGAUUGCUUUGCGUUCGACUUGCCGACUUGACUCUUACCAGCCUAGUAAGUUCCCCAAGCUGUGCUGUCAAUCGCUGUGACGUCCAACCUCCAGGCGCGGAAUGCACUGGGCACCUGGUGAGGAAACGGUUCCCCCUCUUCCAUCUUGCCUAGCAUGACCUAACCGGCAGGCUUUCCCGUACCAGUCGCCAACAUUCCCUGGGCAUUUUCCUCUUAAGGUCACCGCUUCCUCAGUCACACUGAUCACAGAACUCUUGUGAUCCAAAAAUUCAGCUCCGCGUUUCAUUUCUUCGAGCUGGGAAUCAUACACUGAAUGUCUUACCAGAGAUUAAGUGGUGGAAGGUGCCCUUCAUCUCUUCAAGGAAAGGCAGUGCACUCCCUGCCAAAGUCUACUCUCUUCUGGCCUCUGGGAACAUCUCAGGAGCAGGGCGUGGCCCUCCAAAUUCCCUGGAUUCUCGUAGUGUUUCGGUUUUCUUCUCAGUGCCCUAGAGCCCUGCUUUGUACAUCCAUGGCCCCUUCCACUCCACACCAUUGCAGGUAUUUUUGAAAAAUUACAUGAUGCGGCUUUAUUACAUUAUUCUCACGUUUAGAAAUAGGGCUUCCUUAGCAUUACUUCAGCACUUAUUGGGCCCCUACUAUGUCUCAGCCUUGGGCGAGAGCCUGGGGACAGAACUGAACGAAACACCGUCCAUGACUUCUAGGGCUUGAUGAGUUAACAUUUGUAUAGCAUUUGACAAUUUCAAAAGACUUUCACAUACGUUUUCUUGUGUGCUGUGCACAAUGUGGAGCCGAUGGUACUCUUAUUUCCAUUUCAGAGGAAAAUGGAGACAGAAAGACUGGAUAAGUUGUUCAAGAUCCCCUGGUUUAGAAGUAUGAGUGUUGCCUCAAACCCAAGUCUUCCGGCCCCACACUCCUUGGUCUUACCUCUCUACCACGCACCUACUCAGAACGACAACUCAAAACAGAGGAAAUAAGCAAUGUGUCAGUCCUGUUUCACAGAAGCCACCAAAUAACAGCAGGCUUUUACAACUCCAGAAAGGCUGGGAAUCAGACUCCCGCUGCACAUGUGUCCUUCUGUUCGCUAUUUCUAUUUCCAAGUCUUGCGCUUCUUCCAAAGUGUGUAAAGUCACUGGAAGUGCGUUGAAGAGAUGCAAACCAGGAAGUGUUUACGUGAUAAAACGGGCUCAGAGACAACUCUCUGGCAAGGGGAAACCAAGGGCGAGAAAACUGACCACCAGAGGAAGGCACCGGGACUUUGUCCCUCCUUUCCACCCCAUUCCUGCCCUGGCCCCCACUUCUCCGUUGUGUGGCCACUACAGUGUUGCCAACUGGCACCUGCGGGCCAGAGGAUAAUUUACAUCGGCCGUCAUGCUAUCAGCUCUCCCCACACAGUGCAACAGGUAGAGGAUGAAAACGGAUGCUUGCAAGAACCUUAAAUGCAUAUGGCAGAGAAGGCUGCCAGGCCAGGAACGGGGUGGUAAGAAUGUCCAAUACAAAUCUGACAUCUGCUGGGAUAAUAAAACUGAUGAGCAUUUAGGGCACUUUUCCAAGGUGCCAGAUACUACUUAAGUAUUUUGCGUCCUCCCUGUAAACCUCCGCCAUCUCACCCUGUGAAAUGACUAUUAUUAUCUUCGUUUCACAGCUGAGGAGUGACACAGAGAGGUUAAAUAACCAGCCCAAGAUCACACAGCUGGUAAGUGUCAGCAUCUAAAUUCAAACCACAGAUGCCGCCAAGGGGAGACUGAAAUUGUCAGGGGAGGUACGAGUUGGUCCACCAAGGGCUUCAGGGAGAAGAGAAGUUCAGGACAAGCAUUUGCUGUGAAUUUGGGGGAGGUGUGUAUUUGAAGGGGACCAUGGUCGCUUUGCUUGUGUCUCCAAACUUACCCGGGAGCUGGUCUUUCAAUAAAUGAACACUGAGUGAGCUAGAGUGGCAUCUCCAGAUAGAUAGAUCCUUCCUGGGGAAUCCAGACACCAAAAUCACGCCCAUGCUUCUCCAGGGGCGUUUCAAAGUAGAACAUUGCGUUUGAAAAAAACUCCUUUCUAUGAGGCACUUAGAGCACUUCCUAGAUCGUAGGUAAUUAAUCCAUGGAACACCCUGGGAGGAGUGGGAACAGGAGCAAGAAAUAUUGCCUUCCUUUGACUGAUGGAGAAAUUAAGCACAGAACCAGUCAAGUGCCUUUCUUGAUGUGAUAUAGGAAGUCGGUGAAGGACGCAAGGAGACUAAUUCUCCUCCUGGCUCAGCGUUUUGUCCUAACAGCUCUGCUGGGGUGGGAACGACCCCAUGCACGCUAGCUGGCCAUGAGGCUUGAACGCAGAGCCAUGACCCAGAUUUCCCAAGGACUAAAACAUUUAUUUUAUCUGAUGUUCAAACCCAAAAGUCUUCAUGAAAAGAUAUUUAAAAAUAAAUAAUCAUAAUCACCGCUUUCAAGUUAACCUAAGGUUACACCUCUCAUUCAUUCUGUCAGGGUGGUAAUUUGUGUUUGUUUCCUAGAACAGUGCGAGGCACAUAGUAGGUGCUUGCUAAAUGGUUACUGAAUAAUGAGUUUCUUUGUUCACGUAUUUCACUUUGGUAAGAUCAGUUGGAGUCCUAUUUUAAUGACUAGGUGAGCCUAAUUUUAAAAUAUCAGAGGGAGGGCCGCCUGGGUGGCUCAGUCGGUUAAGAGUCCAACUUCGGCUCAGGUCAUGAUUUCCCGAUCCGUGAGUUCGAGUCCCGUUAUCAGGCCCUGUGCUGACAGCUCAGAGCCUGGAUCCUGCUUAAGAUCCUGUGUCUCCCUCUUUCUCUGUCUCUCCCCCGUUCAUGCUCUCUCUCUC